AUUGAACGCUGGCGGCAUGCCUUACACAUGCAAGUCGAACGGCAGCAUGAUCUAGCUUGCUAGAUUGAUGGCGAGUGGCGAACGGGUGAGUAAUACAUCGGAACGUGCCCUGUAGUGGGGGAUAACUAGUCGAAAGAUUAGCUAAUACCGCAUACGACCUGAGGGUGAAAGUGGGGGACCGCAGGGCCUCAUGCUAUAGGAGCGGCCGAUGUCUGAUUAGCUAGUUGGUGGGGUAAAGGCCCACCAAGGCGACGAUCAGUAGCUGGUCUGAGAGGACGAUCAGCCACACUGGGACUGAGACACGGCCCAGACUCCUACGGGAGGCAGCAGUGGGGAAUUUUGGACAAUGGGGGCAACCCUGAUCCAGCAAUGCCGCGUGUGUGAAGAAGGCCUUCGGGUUGUAAAGCACUUUUGUCCGGAAAGAAAUCGCACUUACUAAUAUUAGGUGUGGAUGACGGUACCGGAAGAAUAAGGACCGGCUAACUACGUG
rnacentral:rRNA from 1 species